rnacentral:rRNA from 1 species
UACAGAGGGUGCGAGCGUUAAUCGGAAUUACUGGGCGUAAAGCGCGCGUAGGCGGCUUUGCAAGUCGGGUGUGAAAUCCCCAGGCUUAACCUGGGAACUGCAUUCGCGACUGCAUUGCUAGAGUAUGGGAGAGGGUAGUGGAAUUUCCGGUGUAGCGGUGAAAUGCGUAGAUAUCGGAAGGAACAUCAGUGGCGAAAGCGACUUCCUGGACCAAUACUGACGCUCAUGUGCGAAAGCGUGGGGAGCAAACAGG